GUGUCCAUCAGGAGAUGUGUGACACCUAUCCAUGUUUGUAGUUAACAACACCUUUCCAACCACACCUAUCCAUGAGAGGUGUCCAUCAGAAGUGUCACCAGUCAAUGCACACUGACCAUGAGAGGUGUCCAUCAGAAGUGUCACCAGUCAAUGCACACUGACCAUGAGAGGUGUCCAUCAGAAGUGUCACCAGGAACGCACACCUGUCCCUGUUUGUAGUUUCAGUCCUGGGACAGUUCUUCACAAACGGUGUCCCCAAGGCUUUCGGGGUGUCAGUUGGGCAGUGACCCCAUCACGGAGGGUGGGUGGUCAGUCUGGGCUCCAGGACACCGUGCCCAGCUCCGCCGCGUCCCCGCAGUGUCCGAGGAGCUGGACAGGAGCACGCUGACGCCCGGCAGCACGGUGAGGCCGUCGGAGAAGAUGACCAUGACGCACGUGGUGGAGCGCGCCUGUUGCCGGGACUACCAGCGCCUGGGGCUGGGCACGCUGAGCAGCAGCCUGACGCGCUCCAAGAACGAGCCCUUCCGCAUCUCCACCGUCAACCGCAUGUACGCCAUCUGCCGCAGGUGAGCCGGCGCGGCCCGCGGCUGCCGGUGGGUCUGCUGGGUCCUGGAGGGUUCCUCUGGGUCCUGGUGGGUCCUGCUGGGUCCUGGUGGGUUCCUGUGGGUCCUGGAGGGUCCUGGAGGGUUCCUGUGGGUCUGCUGGGUCCUGGUGGGCUCCUGAGGGUUCCUCUGGGUCUGCUGGGUUCCUGGUGGGUUCCUCUGGGUCUGCUGGGUUCCUGGAGGGUUCCUCUGGGUCCUGGAGGGUUCCUCUGGGUCCUGGUGGGUCUGCUGGGUUCCUGGAGGGUUCCUGUGGGUCUGCUGGGUCCUGGUGGGUUCCUCAGGGUCUGCUGGGUCCUGGUGAGUCCUGGAGGGUUCCUGAGGGUUCCUCUGGGUCCUGGUGGGUCCUGCUGGGUUCCUGAGGGUUCCUGUGGGUUUCUGAGGGUCAUGGUGGGUCCUGGUGGGUCACUGUGGGUUCCUGUGCAUCCCUG
rnacentral:lncRNA from 1 species